GGGGUCGUAAUAGUUUCGACAAAAAUAAUAAAUCUUAAAGGGCAAGUCGUAAGAUAUACGAUACAUUCAAAAAAUAAAAUAACUGGAAACAGAACACAAUUAGCUUUCGCUUAAUAAUUUAGAAGGCUGCUUCAAUACAUUUUUACCUACGGAAUGUAUAUGAGGCUCGAUUAGUAGGUUAUAUUAUUAAUUUUGAUUUAUGAUUAAUGAUGAAUUUAAAUAAAUCUUACUAAAUAAAAUUUUGAUAGUUUAUUAUUAUUUAGGACAUUAACAAAUUAUCUAAACUUGUAGAACUUUAUUAUUUAUAUUUUUGGACAGGGGUGCGAUUCCCCUCGGCUCCACCA
rnacentral:tmRNA from 1 species